GUAAACAAGAAAAGAGAAUAUAAAAAGAAAAAAGAAAAGAAAAAAGUCGCCGUCGUUCUUCUCUGUUAGUUUCAAGAAAAUAAAUUGGCUCAAAAACCGAAGCUAAUGUUCUUAUUUUUCAAUUAUUUGCUUCUAUAAUUAAAGAGAAAUAACAGCAGAAGCAUGCAUUAAUGGCUAAAGAAAUACAGAAAAAAUAAAAAAAUACAGAAAAAAAAUGGUGACAGAGAAAAUAGAGAGAGACGAGGUGCAAAGGAAGAAGAUCAAAGGUUAUUAGGGAUUUUGUGAGAAUCUUCUUAAUACCUCCACAAAGAUUGUUCCUUUGACCGUUAAAUUUAAGACCCACUUUCCCAAUUGAUUCAACUUACAAUUAAUCCUUUAUCUGCGUAGGGGGUGGGGUCGCCGGAGGGGAGGGUGGUCGCCGGAGGGGAGAUG
rnacentral:lncRNA from 1 species